GAUCAUGGCUCAGGAUGAACGCUAGCUACAGGCUUAACACAUGCAAGUCGAGGGGCAGCAUUGGAGUAGCAAUACUUCAGAUGGCGACCGGCGCACGGGUGAGUAACACGUAUCCAACCUGCCGCUUACUCGGGGAUAGCCUUUCGAAAGAAAGAUUAAUACCCGAUGGUAUAAAGAGUUUCGCAUGUUCUCUUUAUUAAAGAAUUUCGGUAAGCGAUGGGGAUGCGUUCCAUUAGAUAGUUGGCGGGGUAACGGCCCACCAAGUCUACGAUGGAUAGGGGUUCUGAGAGGAAGGUCCCCCACAUUGGAACUGAGACACGGUCCAAACUCCUACGGGAGGCAGCAGUGAGGAAUAUUGGUCAAUGGACGAGAGUCUGAACCAGCCGAGUAAGCGUGAAGGAUGACUGCCCUAUGGGUUGUUAAACUUCUUUUAUAAGGGAAUAAAGUGAGGGACGUGUCCCUUUUGUAUGUACCUUAUGAAUAAGGAUCGGCUAACUCCGUGCCAGCAGCGGC
rnacentral:rRNA from 1 species